GGAAUCUUGAUCAAUGGGCGGAAGCCUGAACCAGCGAUGCCGCGUGAGUGAUGAAGGCCUUCGGGUUGUAAAGCUCUGUGGGGCGGGACGAAAGACUCGAGGUCUAAUAGGCUUUGAGGUUGACGGUACCGCCUUAGCAAGCACCGGCUAACCCUGUGCCAGCAGCCGCGGUAAGACAGAGGGUGCAAACGUUGCUCGGAAUCACUGGGCGUAAAGGGCGUGUAGGCGGGAAGGAAAGUCAGAUGUGAAAUCCCCAGGCUCAACCUGGGAACUGCAUUUGAAACUCCCUUUGUUGAGUGCCGGAGAGGAAAGCGGAAUCCCUGGUGUAGAGGUGAAAUUCGUAGAUAUCAGGAGGAACACCAGUGGCGAAGGCGGCUUUCUGGACGGUAACUGACGCUGAGACGCGAAAGCGUGGGGAGC
rnacentral:rRNA from 1 species